rnacentral:rRNA from 1 species
UACGAAGGGGGCUAGCGUUGCUCGGAAUCACUGGGCGUAAAGCGCACGUAGGCGGCUUUUUAAGUCGGGGGUGAAAUCCUGGAGCUCAACUCCAGAACUGCCUUCGAUACUGGAGAGCUUGAGUCCGGGAGAGGUGAGUGGAACUGCGAGUGUAGAGGUGAAAUUCGUAGAUAUUCGCAAGAACACCAGUGGCGAAGGCGGCUCACUGGCCCGGUACUGACGCUGAGGUGCGAAAGCGUGGGGAGCAAACAGG